GACGAACGCUGGCGGCGUGCUUAACACAUGCAAGUCGAACGGAAAGGCCCUGCUCUUGUGGGGUGCUCGAGUGGCGAACGGGUGAGUAACACGUGAGUAACCUGCCCUUGACUUUCGGAUAACUUCAGGAAACUGGGGCUAAUACCGGAUAGGAGCUCCUGCUGCAUGGUGGGGGUUGGAAAGUUUCGGCGGUUGGGGAUGGACUCGCGGCUUAUCAGCUUGUUGGUGGGGUAGGGGCUUACCAAGGCUUUGACGGGUAGCCGGCCUGAGAGGGUGACCGGCCACAUUGGGACUGAGAUACGGCCCAGACUCCUACGGGAGGCAGCAGUGGGGAGUAUUGCACAAUGGGCGGAAGCCUGAUGCAGCAACGCCGCGUGCGGGAUGACGGCCUUCGGGUUGUAAACCGCUUUCGCCUGUGACGAAGCGUGAGUGACGGUAAUGAGUAAAGAAGCACCGGCUAACUACGUG
rnacentral:rRNA from 1 species